rnacentral:rRNA from 1 species
CAGCGUCACGAGUGGCAAUCAGAUUUAUUGGGUCUAAAGCGUCCGUAGCCGGUUUGAUAAGUCUUUUGUGAAAUUGUCGUGCUUAACAUGACAACGUGCAAGAGAUACUGUCAAACUUGGAACUGGGAGGGGUUAGAGGUAUUCCUUGGGGAGCGGUAAAAUGCUAUAAUCCUUGGAGGACCACCUGUGGCGAAAGCGUCUAACCAGAACAGCUUCGACGGUGAGGGACGAAAGCUAGGGGAGCAAACCGGAUUAGAUACCCGAGUAGUCC